GACGAACGCUGGCGGCGUGCUUAACACAUGCAAGUCGAGCGGAGCGGCGAACGGGUGAGUAACGCGUGAGUAACUGCCCCCCUCUCGGGGAUAACAGUUGGAAACGGCUGCUACUACCGGAAAGUGGGGGAUGACCCGCGGCCUAUCGGCUUGUGGGUGGGGUGGUGGCCGACCAAGGCGACGACGGGUAGCCGGCCUGAGAGGGCGACGGGCCACAUUGGGCUGAGAUACGGCCCAAACUCGUACGGGAGGCAGUAGGGGGGAAUAUUGCACAAGGGGGGAAACCCUGAUGCAGAAACGCCGCGUGCGGGAUGACGGCCUUCGGGUUGUAAACCGCUUUCAGCCAUGACGCGGUAGUGGCAGAAGAAGCACCGGCUAACUACGUGCCAGCAGCCGCGGUAAUUC
rnacentral:rRNA from 1 species